GGGGGUAGAGCUGCUUGGUAGCUCACAAGGCUCAUAACCUUAGGGUUGCGGGUUCGAUUCC
rnacentral:tRNA from 1 species